rnacentral:rRNA from 1 species
UACGGAGGGUGCGAGCGUUGUUCGGAAUACUGGGCGUAAAGCGCGUGCAGGCGGCCGACUAAGUCAGAUGUGAAAGCCCUGGGCUCAACCUGGGAAUGGCAUUGGAUACUGGCAACCUAGAAUGUGGUAGAGGGUGGCGGAAUUCCCGGUGUAGCAGUGAAAUGCGUAGAUAUCGGGAGGAACAUCCGUGGCGAAGGCGGCCACCUGGACCAACAUUGACGCUGAGGCACGAAAGCGUGGGGAGCAAACAGGG